rnacentral:rRNA from 1 species
AAUUAAAUUAUAAUAAUAAUAUACAUUUAUAAAUUAAUGAAUUAAUUGGUCCUUUCGUACUAAAUUAAUUAUAUUUUAAUAAGAUAGAAACCAACCUGGCUUACACCGGUUUGAACUCAAAUCAUGUAAGAAUUUAAAAGUCGAACAGACUUAAAUAAUCAAAAUCUACCCCAAAAUUUAUUCUUAAUUCAACAUCGAGGUCGCAAACUUAAAUAUAGAUAUGAACUCCCCAUUUAAAUUACGCUGUUAUCCCUAAGGUAACUUUAACUUAAAUAAAACAAAUUAAUCAAAAUUUCUUAAAUUAAAGAUUUACAAAAAUAAAGAUUAAAUUUAAUUAUCACCCCAAUAAAAUUAUUAAAAACUUUUUUAAAAUAAAAUUAAAUUUAAAUAAGUAAUCACAAUAAAGUUCUGUAGGGUCUUUUCGUCCCAAUUAAUUAAUUUAGAUUUUUUACCAAAAAAUAAAAUUUUAAUAAUUAAUUAAAUUAAAAUAAAUCCCUUAUUCAUUCAUUCAUACCAGCCCUUAAUUAAAAGACUAAUUAUUAUGCUACCUUUGUACAGUUAAAAUACUGCAGCCAUUUAAAUUUCAUAGAGCAGAACAUACCUUUAAUAUAAUCUAAAAGAAAUGUUUUUGGUAAACAGUUAAGAAUUAAAAUUGUUGAAUUCAAUAAUUGUUAUUUUUAUAUUAUACUAAUUAAAUCAAUUUAAAAAUUAAAUAAAAAAUAAAUAAAUAUUUCUAAUAAAAAAAUAAAUUAAAUAAAAUUAUUUAAAUAAAAUUUAAUUUAUUAAAAACUUAAUACAAAAUUUAAAAGAUUAUUAAAUUUAUAAAAAUAUAAUUAUAUUAAAAUAUAAUGAUUAUCCAUUAUAAAAUAAGACUUAAAAUUAAAAUUAAAAUUAAAAAAAAAAUCUAAAAUUAAAUUUUUUCUAAGAAAACCAGAUAUAAUGAAAAUCGUAUAGCUUAUAACCACUAAAAAAGAAUUUAAAAGUUUUUUUAAAACAAACAAAAUAAUUCAAAAGUAGAUCUUUUCAAUUCGGGAAAUUAAAAUAAUUUUAUUAAUUAAAUUACCCUGAGACAAAAGGUACUAAUUAAAUAUAAAUUAUUAAUAAAUAAAAAUUUUACAAAAAUUAAAUAAUUUUUUUUAAAAAAAACUAAAAUAAAUAAAUUAAAAUUAAAAAUAAAUUAUUAUUA